UCCCAGAUGAGCAUUGGUGGUCCGGUGUGCGGGCUUCAAAUCCGUAGCUGAUGAUACAGUCAGAGUGGUUCGAUUCCACCUUCUGGGCG